GAGGAAUAAGCAUCGGCUAACUACGUGCCAGCAGCCGCGGUAAUACGUAGGGUGCAAGCGUUAAUCGGAAUUACUGGGCGUAAAGCGUGCGCAGGCGGUUUUGUAAGUCUGUCGUGAAAUCCCCGGGCUCAACCUGGGAAUUGCGAUGGAGACUGCAAGGCUAGAAUCUGGCAGAGGGGGGUAGAAUUCCACGUGUAGCAGUGAAAUGCGUAGAGAUGUGGAGGAACACCGAUGGCGAAGGCAGCCCCCUGGGUCAAGAUUGACGCUCAUGCACGAAAGCGUGGGGAGCAAACAGGAUUAGAUACCCUGGUAGUCCACGCCCUAAACGAUGUCUACUAGUUGUCGGGUUUUAAUUAACUUGGUAACGCAGCUAACGCGUGAAGUAGACCGCCUGGGGAGUACGGUCGCAAGAUUAAAACUCAAAGGAAUUGACGGGGACCCGCACAAGCGGUGGAUGAUGUGGAUUAAUUCGAUGCAACGCGAAAAACCUUACCUACCCUUGACAUGUACGGAAGCCACGAG
rnacentral:rRNA from 1 species